rnacentral:snRNA from 1 species
GUGCUCGCUUUGGCAGCACAUAUACUAAAAAUUGGAAUGAUAUGGAGAUUAGCAUGGCCCCUGCACAAGGAUGACACGCAAAUUCGUGAAGCGUCCCAUAUUUUU